rnacentral:misc_RNA from 1 species
CCAAUAGCGUAUAUUAAAGUUGUUGCAGUUAAAAAGCUCGUAGUUGAACUUCGGGGUUCACCCAUUGGUCAGGCUUAAUUGUCUGUACUGGUGAGAUGAGUCUCUACCUUCUGAGGAACUUUCAUGCCAUUUAUUUGGUGUGAUGGGAAAUCAGGACUGUUACUUUGAAAAAAUUAGAGUGUUUAAAGCAGGCUAACGUCUGAAUACAUUAGCAUGGAAUAAUGAAAUAGGACGGAUUGAUUCUAUUUCGUUGGUUUCUAGGAUCACCGUAAUGAUUAAUAGGGAUAGUUGGGGGCAUUAGUAUUCAAUUGUCAGAGGUGAAAUUCUUGGAUUUAUUGAAGACUAACUACUGCGAAAGCAUUUGCCAAGGAUGUUUUCAUUAAUCAAGAACGAAAGUUAGGGGAUCGAAGACGAUCAGAUACCGUCGUAGUCUUAACCAUAAACUAUGCCGACUAGGGAUCGGAUGAUGUUAAUUUUUUAAUGACUCAUUCGGCGCCUUACG